rnacentral:rRNA from 1 species
UACGAAGGGGGCUAGCGUUGCUCGGAAUCACUGGGCGUAAAGGGUGCGUAGGCGGCCAACUAAGUCAGACGUGAAAUCCCUCGGCUUAACCGGGGAACUGCAUCUGAUACUGGAUGGCUUGAGAUUGGGAGAGGGAUGCGGAAUUCCAGGUGUAGCGGUGAAAUGCGUAGAUAUCUGGAGGAACACCGGUGGCGAAGGCGGCAUCCUGGACCAACACUGACGCUGAGGAGCGAAAGCCAGGGGAGCAAACGGG